AACGAACGCUGGCGGCAGGCUUAAUACAUGCAAGUCGAGCGGGCACUUCGGUGUCAGCGGCGCACGGGUGCGUAACGCGUGGGAACAUGCCUUUAGGUACGGAACAACCAAGGGAAACUUUGGCUAAUACCGUAUAAUAUCUCUGGAUCAAAGAUUUAUCGCCUAAAGAUUGGCCCGCGUUAGAUUAGGUAGUUGGUGGGGUAAUGGCCUACCAAGCCGACGAUCUAUAGGGGGUCUGAGAGGAUGAUCCCCCACACUGGAACUGAGACACGGUCCAGACUCCUACGGGAGGCAGCAGUAAGGAAUAUUGGACAAUGGGCGAAAGCCUGAUCCAGCCAUGCCGCGUGAGUGAUGAAGGCCUUAGGGUUGUAAAGCUCUUUUAGAUGGGAAGAUAAUGACGGUACCAGCAGAAUAAGCCCCGGCUAAAUUCGUG
rnacentral:rRNA from 1 species